rnacentral:rRNA from 1 species
AGAGUUUGAUCCUGGCUCAGAUUGAACGCUGGCGGCAGGCUUAACACAUGCAAGUCGAGCGGGGAAAGGUAGCUUGCUACCUGACCUAGCGGCGGACGGGUGAGUAAUGCUUAGGAAUCUGCCUAUUAGUGGGGGACAACAUCUCGAAAGGGAUGCUAAUACCGCAUACGUCCUACGGGAGAAAGCAGGAGGCCUUCGGGCCUUGCGCUAAUAGAUGAGCCUAAGUCGGAUUAGCUAGUUGGUGGGGUAAAGGCCUACCAAGGCGACGAUCUGUAGCGGGUCUGAGAGGAUGAUCCGCCACACUGGGACUGAGACACGGCCCAGACUCCUACGGGAGGCAGCAGUGGGGAAUAUUGGACAAUGGGGGGAACCCUGAUCCAGCCAUGCCGCGUGUGUGAAGAGGGCCUUUUGGUUGUAAAGCACUUUAAGCGAGGAGGAGGCUACCGAGAUUAAUACUCUUGGAUAGUGGACGUUACUCGCAGAAUAAGCACCGGCUAACUCUGUGCCAGCAGCCGCGUAAUACAGAGGGUGCAAGCGUUAAUCGGAUUUACUGGGCGUAAAGCGCGCGUAGGUGGCCAAUUAAGUCAAAUGUGAAAUCCCCGAGCUUAACUUGGGAAUUGCAUUCGAUACUGGUUGGCUAGAGUAUGGGAGAGGAUGGUAGAAUUCCAGGUGUAGCGGUGAAAUGCGUAGAGAUCUGGAGGAAUACCGAUGGCGAAGGCAGCCAUCUGGCCUAAUACUGACACUGAGGUGCGAAAGCAUGGGGAGCAAACAGGAUUAGAUACCCUGGUAG